AACGGCCAUACCACGUUGAACACACCGGUUCUCGUCUGAUCACCGCAGUUAAGCAACCAACAUUGGGCAUGGUUAGUACUUGGAUGGGUGACCGCUUGGGAACACCAUGUGCUGUUG
rnacentral:rRNA from 1 species